rnacentral:rRNA from 1 species
GGGCCCGCACAAGCGGAGGAACAUGUGGUUUAAUUCGAUGAUACGCGAGGAACCUUACCCGGGCUCGAACGGUAGAUGAAAGAUCUGGAAACAGACUGACCGCAAGGACAUUUAUCGAGGUGCUGCAUGGUUGUCGUCAGCUCGUGCCGUGAGGUGUCGGCUUAAGUGCCAUAACGAGCGCAACCCCUAUCGUUAGUUACCAUCAGGUUAAGCUGGGGACUCUAGCGAGACUGCCACCGUAAGGUGUGAGGAAGGUGGGGAUGACGUCAAAUCAGCACGGCCCUUACGUCCGGGGCUACACACGUGUUACAAUGGGAUGGACAAAGGGUCGCUACCUGGCAACAGGAUGCUAAUCUCAAAACCAUCUCCCAGUUCGGAUUGGAGUCUGCAACCCGACUCCCAUGAAGCUGGAUUCGCUAGUAAUCGCGCAUCAGCCAUGGCG